CACCACAUCAAAGUAGAUUGGGAAACUCAUCAAUUACAAAUAUAAUUCCGAGGCAAGCUUAGUCGGCCGAUGGCGGGCCCCAGCCUCUGACGAGGCGCCGGUUUUUCCGGCCAGGCGGAUUACAAAGGGCGGCGAGCACUCAAAUCCUGUCUUUCGGAGUUUCAUCGCAUCCUUUGGUGUGGCCCUUACG
rfam:Prevotella sp. CAG:1031 genomic scaffold, scf43